AUAAGCCGUAGGGAAACGUGGGUCUAAUACCGGAUAGGACGAUGGUUUGGAUGCCAUUGUGGAAAGUUUUUUCGGUGUGGGAUGAGCUCGCGGCCUAUCAGCUUGUUGGUGGGGUAAUGGCCUACCAAGGCGUCGACGGGUAGCCGGCCUGAGAGGGUGUACGGCCACAUUGGGACUGAGAUACGGCCCAG
rnacentral:rRNA from 1 species